rnacentral:rRNA from 1 species
UGCGCAGGCGGACUGGCAAGUAUCUUGUGAAAGCCCACGGCUCAACCGUGGAACUGCAGGGUAAACUGCCAGUCUUGAGGUAGGUAGGGGCCGACGGAACCAUAGGUGGAGCGGUGGAAUGCAUAGAUAUCUAUGGGAACGCCAAAAGCGAAGGCAGUCGGCUGGGCCUUACCUGACGCUCAGGCACGAAAGCGUGGGUAGCAAACAGGAUUAGAUACCCUGGUAGUCC